GCUAUUCCAUACCCGAGCUAGCCACCGCCCCCAGGGCCGCGCAGGCGCCCGGUUUCGGUUCCCCGCCGCACCGGUUCCUUUUCCGCGUACCCCCACCGCCCCGAAGCGGUUUCUUCUCCUCCCAGCUCGCGAUCCCUUCCCCUAGCCAGCCCUGGCCCAGAUACGUUUUCCGACGCCGCUCCUCUCAUCGUCGGGGACUGGCGCCGCCCAACCCCAGCUGAUGCUCCUCCCGUCGCCGAUCUGGAGUCUGGCGCCUCCCGUCACUGCUGAUCCGUUCCCGACGCCGCAUCUCAUCCCGACGCAGCACCUCCUCCCGUCGCCGCUCCCCUCCUCCGACGGUGAUCCCUCCUCCCAACGCCAUUCCACGAGACCGUCCUCCCAUCGUCGUCACCCCCGGGAGAUCCUACUAUGGCCCACCGACGAGAUCCUCCCCUGGCCUACCUUCAGGUCAUGGAGGAAUUGAUGGCACGGCGUGGAUGAAUCGCCUGCGUAUCCCCGCAUUCAAGUUAAUUCCGUGCAAGCUCUAGAUUUGUCUGUCGGUGCUCAUUCUUUGAUGAAUCGUCGCUGGUGGUUCCCCCGCCAGUGCAAGCACAGAUUGGUCCACAGAUGCAUAUCAACCCGAGCAGGGUGGUGUUCGAGCAGCUUCCGAUUUGGUUGUCAAUCGGAUUGGCGACGACGGUCACCAGGGAUCCAAUCUCCUCCGCUAUAGCUUGGGGUCCCUUCCCUGGAGUGGCAGUUUAUCUCCGUCCCUUGUGGAUAGUCUGAGGACACAAGGAGCAUAUUCCGUUGGGUCUCCUCUCCAAGACUUCAGAUGCUCCUGGUGCUCCUUGAAAAGCUCGGCUUAAGGCAUGAGAGCUGAUUAAUACUCGAUUGUUCAUGGAUACUAUUUAUGGGAUGAUGUUAAAGUUUUAAGGUUGCUCACUGUUACUUUGCUUAUGACACCUUGUAGGUUAGAUGGCAUCUAGUAAUCUCUGUUGCUUUAUUUUAGUUUUGAUGGCACUACUGUUAAUAUUGAGCCCCUCUAUACAGUGUCAGCAUGAUUGCAUAAAUGGAAUAAUCAUGGCUAAACUGAAAUGGCUCACCGAAUCUAAGAAUAAAGUAAACAAAAGAUAUGGAAAACUUAAACCAUUAGACUGGAUUGGAGAAAUUUUUUUCUUAAAAAUACACAGGUGCAUUGCUGCUGCGAUACGGAUGAAGGAUAUGGUUGGACAAUCAUGGAAAAGCAGGUUGAACUUAGAAAUGGCUGGAAGCACACCAGACUAAGAUCCAGCAGCACAAUCUGAACUGCAGCGCUUUUUAGGUGCCAAGUAUAUUAAAACGGCAAUGAGGCCAGUAUAUUAAAAUGUUUUUUUGCAGAUGUGGUGGACACCACGAUCUCUAUUGACAGUGCCAUCUUUCAGCAGUACACAUCAUCACCAUCAGGUGUUUAGGGAUAGUUCCCCUUGUUCAUCACUUGAUGGAUUUUGUGCAGAAAGCAUCAGUUGUACAGUAGAUAGAUUCUGAGUUUCAUGUAUGGAUGGUAUGUUUCGAGCCUAUGUGUAUAGAUUCUUAUAAAAAUAUAGUUCGGAGUGGCAGGUGAUGCCAUUUCGACUCCACAAGUGUUUAUGGUAUUUAUGAACCGGCUUAGAAAAAUGUGUGGUGUUUGUAAGAUAAUGAGAUUUUAGCAUCAACAUGUUUUGGUAUAUGAGAUUAGGAAACCAAAAUAUUACUGUCUGUCU